rnacentral:snoRNA from 1 species
UGCCGUGAUGUCGUAAUUUGCGUCUGACUCUGUGCCCGGUGACAGUUGCCUGCUGUCGGUGAGCUGGGACAGAGGGCUGAUGAACAACGAACGCUGAGCA